rnacentral:rRNA from 1 species
CCUACGGGGGGCAGCAGUGAGGAAUAUUGGUCAAUGGGCGCGAGCCUGAACCAGCCAAGUCGCGUGAGGGAAGACGGUCCUAUGGUUUGUAAACCUCUUUUGUCGGGGAGCAAGAGACGCCACGCGUGGCGUUCCGAGAGUACCCGAAGAAAAAGCAUCGGCUAACUCCGUGCCAGCAGCCGCGGUAAUACGGAGGAUGCGAGCGUUAUCCGGAUUGAUUGGGUUGAAAGGGAGCGCAGGCGGAGGAUCAAGUCAGGGGUCAAAUUGAGAGGCUCAACCUCUUCGAGGCGUUGGAACUGGUUUUCUUGAGUGAGCGAGAAGUAUGCGGAAUGCGGGGUGUAGCGGUGAAAUGCAUAGAUAUCACGCAGAACUCCGAUUGCGAAGGCAGCAUACCGGCGCUCAACUGACGCUCAUGCACGAAAGUGUGGGUAUCGAACAGGAUUAGAUUACCCCAGUAGUC